ensembl:misc_RNA 7SK 7SK RNA
UGAUGUGAGGGUGAUCUGAUUGUGACAUAUGUCACCCCAUUGAUUGUUAGGGUUGUUUGGGCUAAUAUGGCUGGCGAAGCAGGUGCCCCUUUCCUCCCCCAAUGCUCCAUGUGUAUCCCUCCCAAAGCUGCGUGAUCAGUUGAAGAAGACGACCUUCCCCGAUAAAAGAAGAUCAGUCUUGGGUCAAAGGUAUAAGAGUGGCUGGAUUCCCCUGCUUAGAACCUCCAAACAAAUUAUCAAGAAUAAUGUCUGUAUUUCUUUAGCAUAAAAGAUGCUAACACAUGCAAGGACAGAUGUGUAUGAAGUAGAUACUGAAGAAAUUU